rnacentral:rRNA from 1 species
CAACUUUCAGCAAUAGAUUUCUUGGUAAGGCAUUGAUGAAGAAUGCAGCGAAAUGUGAUAAAGGUAAAAUU